rnacentral:miRNA from 2 species
UGUGUGGAGGUAAGGAACUAUGC